CCGGAGGAGGGUGGGAAGGAUUCCUGGGGAGCUUCAUCCUUACUUUCCAGAGUAAGGGAAGAAGGACCUGAAUAUGUGUACUUAGUCACUCAAGUCAUGUCGGACUCUGCGACCCCAUGGACUGUGGCCCACCAGGCUCCUCUUUCCAUGGGAAUUCUCCAGGGCAUGCAGGAUCCUAGUUUCCCUGACCAGAGAUAGAACCUAUGCCCCCUGCAGAGUCUUAACCACUGAACUGCUGGAAAGACUUUGCCGGUUUAUAGUUGCAACCAAGGGUUUGUCCAGUGGUCAUGUAUGGAUGUGAGAGUUGGACUGUGAAGAAAGCUGAGCCCCAAGGAAUUGAUGCUUUUGAACUGUGGUGUUGGAGAAGACUCUUGAGAGUCCCUUGGACUGCAAGGAGAUCCAACCAGUCCAUUCUAAAGGAGAUCAGCCCUGGGAUUUCUUUGGAAGGAAUGAUGCUAAAGCUGAAACUCCAGUACUUUGACCACCUCAUGAGAAGAGUUGAC
ensembl:lncRNA